rnacentral:rRNA from 1 species
GUAGUCAUAUGCUUGUCUCAAAGAUUAAGCCAUGCAUGUCUAAGUAUAAGCAACUUGUACUGUGAAACUGCGAAUGGCUCAUUAAAUCAGUUAUCGUUUAUUUGAUAGUACCUUACUACAUGGAUACCUGUGGUAAUUCUAGAGCUAAUACAUGCUAAGAACCCCGACUUCAGGAAGGGGUGUAUUUAUUAGAUAAAAAACCAACGCCCUUCGGGGCUCCUUGGUGAAUCAUAAUAACUUAACGAAUCGCAUGGCCUUGCGCCGGCGAUGGUUCAUUCAAAUUUCUGCCCUAUCAACUUUCGAUGGUAGGAUAGUGGCCUACCAUGGUGGCAACGGGUAACGGGGAAUUAGGGUUCGAUUCCGGAGAGGGAGCCUGAGAAACGGCUACCACAUCCAAGGAAGGCAGCAGGCGCGCAAAUUACCCAAUCCCGAUACGGGGAGGUAGUGACAAUAAAUACUGAUACGGGGCUCUUUUGGGUCUCGUAAUUGGAAUGAGAACAAUUUAAAUCCCUUAACGAGG